CUAAGAAAACACUACUUCACGAGCUCUCAUCAAAUACGCCUUCUUCCCCUUAUCUAUCUCAGAUACGUCUUCCAUCUUCUAACACAGAUUCUUCUUCCCCAAAACACGAAACCCAUCUUCUUCCCUUAACGAAUUCACUUAAAAACCAAAAACUAUCCUUUUUCACCUCCUCAAACUCUGCUUCAAUUCCCAAACUUAAAAACCCUAGAACUUCAAUCCAAUCCAUAACUCAGAAAUCCUUAAAUUUAUUCAAACCCAAAAAAUCGAUUCAACCCAAAAUUAUAAAAUGGAUUAGUAUAUUCCCAAAAAUCAAUCGAAACCCUAAAACCAUAUUCUUUCGUCAACAAUACUUUGGGUGUCCAAAUUUCGUUGAAUUUUCUAUAUUGGCAUUGGUGCUCAAAGGACCUUAGCAUUUUCGACAGGUUUGAUCUAGUGUUAGAACAAGUGCUUAAGGAAUAUUCUCUUGCUCAGAGAUUCCAGUGUUUUUACAUUCGGUGCUUCGUCUAAUGUUUCCGUUUAGUCGGAACUCAAAUUUCAAUAAAUUGUUCCCAUGUAUGAGUGAGAAUUAGGGAGAACUUCCUGUCAAAGAAGAUGAUUAUGAGGAUAUGCUACUUUACGGUGUACUUUGCAAUACUGUUUAUGUUGGGUGGAUUCCAUCUCUUAACGCAGCUUCACCAAAGAGUUUUUCCUCGUGUUACAUGCCGCCGGAGAUAGUGAAAUCAGAGCCGAAUGUUUUUCCUUUCAAUGUUUUUCCAGGGGUUUUCUUGAAAUAUUAUUAUGGAUGCCUCGGGCUUUGUUGAAUCUAUUGUAUGCACUGCAUGUUCUUUCUCAUCAUAUCAUUUGUGUAUAUGCAGGUUGGAUCGAGUGUUGGAUCUAGUGCUUAAGGAAUAUUCUCUUGUGUUAUGAUUGGAGUUCUUGAACUAGUAUAUCCAAUGUUUACUCCACUAUAAAGAAGCAUUUUGAGUCUUGGUUUUGGUUGAGUUAGCUGAUAAGGGGUGGAUGAUUGUGAAGAAAUGAGUCAAGGAUUCAUUUUGGUUCAUACUAAAUGAGUCAUAUAUGGAUUAGUUAUGGAUCUGAAUCUCUGCUUUGUAGUGCUCUUGUUAGAAACCCAAGUUCUCAAUGUUUUGAUUAAUGUCUCAAGACUGAUGCUGACUAACAUCAUCCAUCUAUCACCAUACUAAAGUUGAAAACAACAAGAAAUUCCUUUACUUUUGAAAACCACAACACUGGGUUGGAUCAAUGCAAAUCCUAUGGUUCACGCCAAAAAAAGAGAGAAUCGCUUGUUCUGAAGAUUCUCUCACUGAUGAUUUUGUUGAUCCCCUUGAUAUUUAUGAUAUCCUUCUAUUACUAUAUAUAUAAUUUUUCUUAGUUUACUUGAGUUUACUUGAGUUGAAAUUGAAAUUAAUGCAUGUGUUUUUGGGAUCCUUGACUUUAAUUUUUAACAAAUUUUGUGAGGGAUAUUGGGGAUCGUGACCACUCUUUGGAGCAGCUCAAUAUUCUAUCUGAGAAUCAAUUUCUGUUGAUGACGAAUUGGGGAAGAUUCUGGAAUGCUAUUGUUAUAACCAUAGGAGGGCUCUUACCUGGCGACAUUGUAUAGUCAUUUGGUUGCAUGUAGAUAUUUGUUCAGUUUCUCGGCAUAUACUUACCUGCGGCUGCUGUUAAUGAAGUCAUGGUGAUAAUUAUAUUAAAAAGUUAUGGAAAGAGGUAAGAAAAAAGAGACCCGGACAAUUAAAUGGCACCUAAUAACUAUGAAGAAAAAAUGACAACAAUGAUUGGUAGUGUAGGUAAAUAAGUUCUCUUGUUGUAGUUGAUCUAACAAUUUCAUUCUUUGUUGACCAAAUGAUACAAAGAGUUCAUUGAAAAUAGUGGAAGUAUGGAACUAUCAGUUUAUAGAUAA